rnacentral:rRNA from 1 species
GACGAACGCUGGCGGCGUGCCUAAUACAUGCAAGUCGAGCGAAUCUAUGGGAGCUUGCUCCCUGAGAUUAGCGGCGGACGGGUGAGUAACACGUGGGUAACCUGCCUGUAAGACUGGGAUAAAUUCGGGAAACCGGAGCUAAUACCGGAUACUUUCUUUUCUCGCAUGAGGGAAGAAGGAAAGAUGGUUCUGCUAUCACUUACAGAUGGACCCGCGGCGCAUUAGCUAGUUGGUGAGGUAACGGCUCAGCAAGGCGACGAUGCGUAGCCGACCGGAGAGGGCGAUCGGCCACACUGGGACUGCGACACGGCCCAGACGCCUACGGGAGGCAGCAGUAGGGAAUCUUCCGCAAUGGACGAAAGUCUGACGUAGCAACGCCUCGUGAGCGAAGAAGGCCUUCGGGUCGUAAAGCUCUGUUGUUAGGGAAGAACAAGUACGAGAGUAACUGCUCGUACCUUGACGGUACCUAACCAGAAAGCCACGGCUAACUACGUGCCAGCCGCCGCAGUAACAC